rnacentral:rRNA from 1 species
CCUACGGGAGGCAGCAGUGAGGAAUAUUGGUCAAUGGACGAGAGUCUGAACCACCCAAGUAGCGUGAAGGAUGACUGCCCUAUGGGUUGUAAACUUCUUUUAUAUGGGAAUAAAAUGUUCCACGUGUGGGAUUUUGUAUGUACCAUAUGAAUAAGGAUCGGCUAACUCCGUGCCAGCAGCCGCGGUAAUACGGAGGAUCCGAGCGUUAUCCGGAUUUAUUGGGUUUAAAGGGAGCGUAGGUGGAUUGUUAAGUCAGUUGUGAAAGUUUGCGGCUCAACCGUAAAAUUGCAGUUGAAACUGGCAGUCUUGAGUACAGUAGAGGUGGGCGGAAUUCGUGGUGUAGCGGUGAAAUGCUUAGAUAUCACGAAGAACUCCGAUUGCGAAGGCAGUUCACUGGACUGCAACUGACACUGAGGCUCGAAAGUGUGGGUAUCAAACAGGAUUAGAUACCCGUGUAGUC